rnacentral:rRNA from 1 species
AACGAACGCUGGCGGCAUGCUUAACACAUGCAAGUCGAACGAGAAAGUACCUUCGGGUGCGAGUAGAGUGGCGCACGGGUGAGUAACACGUAGGUGACCUGCCUCUUGGAGGGGAAUAACCAGGAGAAAUUCUGGCUAAUACCGCAUGAGCAUAGCAAUUUUGGAAGUAGCUAUGGAAAGAAUGCCUCUGCAUAUGCAUUCACCAAAAGAUGGGCCUGCGGGACAUUAGCUUGAUGGUGGGAUAACGGCCUACCAUGGCAGUGAUGUCUAGCUGGUCUGAGAGGAUGAUCAGCCACACUGGAACUGUGACACGGUCCAG